rnacentral:rRNA from 1 species
GAGUUUGAUCUUGGCUCAGAUUGAACGCUGGCGGCAUGCCUUACACAUAGCAAGUCGAACGGCAGCACGGGAGCUUGCUCCUGGUGGCGAGUGGCGAACGGGUGAGUAAUGCAUCGGAACGUAUCCUGGAGUGGGGGAUAACGUAGCGAAAGUUACGCUAAUACCGCAUAUUCUGUGAGCAGGAAAGCGGGGGACCUUCGGGCCUCGCGCUCUUGGAGCGGCCGAUGUCGGAUUAGCUAGUUGGUGAGGUAAAGGCUCACCAAGGCGACGAUCCGUAGCAGGUCUGAGAGGAUGAUCUGCCACACUGGAACUGAGACACGGUCCAGACUCCUACGGGAGGCAGCAGUGGGGAAUUUUGGACAAUGGGGGCAACCCUGAUCCAGCCAUGCCGCGUGAGUGAAGAAGGCC